UACGAAGGGGGCUAGCGUUGUUCGGAAUUACUGGGCGUAAAGCGCGCGCAGGCGGCUAUCCAAGUCAGUGGUGAAAGCCCGGAGCUCAACUCCGGAACUGCCAUUGAAACUGUUUAGCUUGAGGACGAGAGAGGUGAGUGGAAUUCCCAGUGUAGAGGUGAAAUUCGUAGAUAUCGAGAGGAACACCAGAGGUGAAGACGGGUUGCUGGGCUGACACUGACGCUGAGGCGCGAAAGCCAGGGGAGCAAACGGG
rnacentral:rRNA from 1 species